CUAAUAGGAAUACAGUCUAAGUGCGCGACGUCAUGUCGCAACGACUGUAUGACCUGCUUCGUGCAGG
rnacentral:sRNA from 1 species